UACAGAGGGUGCAAGCGUUAAUCGGAGUUACUGGGCGUAAAGGGCGCGUAGGCGGUAAGAUGUGUGUGAUGUGAAAGCCCCGGGCUUAACCUGGGAAGUGCAUCGCAAACUAUCUGACUGGAGUAUAUGAGAGGGUGGCGGAAUUUCCGGUGUAGCGGUGAAAUGCGUAGAGAUCGGAAGGAACGUCGAUGGCGAAGGCAGCCACCUGGCAUAAUACUGACGCUGAAGCGCGAAGGCGUGGGGAGCGAACAGG
rnacentral:rRNA from 1 species